rnacentral:lncRNA from 1 species
AGUUAAUGUGCUAUCAUCAUUGAUAACCCUUAGGAGGGACAACAAGGGCUUCUCAAUAGUGUGCUUCUCUUCAUCAAGCUGGAGGAAGGGGUCUUCACCAUUACUUAGAGUACGUAAUUCAACCACUAGUUAAAAGUAAUGGUGUCCUCAGAUCUUAGAUCUGAAUCAUCUUCUUUAAAUGGUUCUUUAAUUCAUGGCCAAAGAAUGUCUUUCCAUAUACUCUCAGAGAGAUAGUCCUUCUUUGAGAGAAAGAUAUAAAAUUUAAUUCUAGGUCUUCUUUAACUCUGAAACUAUGUUGCCUGAAGCAACUCAUGUGCUGCCAUCAGAUUUUAUUAGGUGGGCUAAAGCAGAUUCAGAAGGAGAUUUCCUUACAUAAUGGCUGUCCCCAUGGAACCUUCAGGUAGUCAGUUAAAACUGUCUAAUGAAGAAUUUUCAAGAUCCAUAAGUACAGGAAAAAUCUUGAUGGUCUCUCUCCCUUACUGAUUCAUUGAUAGUUCUCAAACAUUGGGCUGGCACAACGAGAGUAAAAUAGUACAUUUCGCACAGUGUAAAGUGGUGGGUGUGGAUGUUUUCGGAGCCAGUCAGUCUCUGGCAGCUGACUGAGUCACACUCCUGCUUUGUUGCCCACUUACAUCUUCAGAGAGCAGCCUGGGUGGGGAUACUCAUCAAAAUGUGCUCAUUUAAGGACAAACCCAUUUGAACAUUACAACAUUUGGCAAACUUCCUCUACCGAAUGGUGAACCUGGCCCACUGCCUCUGAGAUGCUUCCGUUGCUUGGCUGGGAAACAUAGACCCUUUAACGUCCUUCAUGUGGUAGAACACAUUCAAGACCUUCCAACUAAACACCUGUCUAAGAGCCCUGAGUGUUUUACCUGUUCCUCAAACAUUAUCAAGAUCUUGGCCUGGACCAGUGGGUUACGGAUGUGCAGUGAGUCCUUUUGCAAUAUACAACUAUUUUUAAUCAUGACUGGAGAAUCCCGACGUCUUACUGAGUUCUAGUGGUCACAUGUUUCAUCAAGAAGUCAGCAAACAUCUACUGAACAAGUUCAAUGUGGAGAAUUCUGUACCAUACUUAAGGAAAUGCUCCCACUCCCUUAAGAUGUUUAUAAUCUUAUUGAGAAUGAGGGAACAACAAAAACCAUAGAGGCAAAACUGUGUGACUGCAAAACUGCUUCUAGAUCAACACAAAAGCCACUGACAUAGCAGUGCUUUCAUCAGUGAUAGAUGUGCCAUCUCGACACAAUUUAUAAUCAAGUAAUCUU